ACGCACGCUGGCGGCGCGCCUCACACAUGCAAGUCGAACGAGCGAGAGAGAGCUUGCUUUCUCGAGCGAGUGGCGAACGGGUGAGUAACGCGUGAGGAACCUGCCUCAAAGAGGGGGACAACAGUUGGAAACGACUGCUAAUACCGCAUAAGCCCACGGCUCGGCAUCGAGCAGGGGGAAAAGGAGCAAUCCGCUUUGAGAUGGCCUCGCGUCCGAUUAGCUAGUUGGUGGGGUAACGGCCCACCAAGGCGACGAUCGGUAGCCGGACUGAGAGGUUGAACGGCAACAUUGGGCCUGGGACACGGCCCAGACUCCUACGGAGGCAGCAGUGGGGAAUAUUGCACAAUGGGGGAAACCCUGAUGCAGCGACGCCGCGUGGAGGAAGAAGGUCUUCGGAUUGUAAACUCCUGUUGUUGGGGAAGAUAAUGACGGUACCCAACAAGGAAGUGACGGCUAACUACGUG
rnacentral:rRNA from 1 species